rnacentral:tRNA from 1 species
GUAUAAAAAGCGAGAAAUUUGCGUAUGGUUUCGGCCCAUGUCUUGAGGGUGAAAGUCCUUCUUUAUAUU